GACGAACGCUGGCGGCGUGCUUAACACAUGCAAGUCGAACGGAAAGGCCCUGCUUUUGUUGGGUGCUCGAGUGGCGAACGGGUGAGUAACACGUGAGUAACCUGCCCUUGACUUUGGGAUAACUUCAGGAAACUGGGGCUAAUACCGGAUAGGAGCUCCUGCUGCAUGGUGGUGGUUGGAAAGUUUCGGCGGUUGGGGAUGGACUCGCGGCUUAUCAGCUUGUUGGUGGGGUAGUGGCUUACCAAGGCUUUGACGGGUAGCCGGCCUGAGAGGGUGACCGGCCACAUUGGGACUGAGAUACGGCCCAGACUCCUACGGGAGGCAGCAGUGGGGAAUAUUGCACAAUGGGCGGAAGCCUGAUGCAGCAACGCCGCGUGCGGGAUGACGGCCUUCGGGUUGUAAACCGCUUUCGCCUGUGACGAAGCGUGAGUGACGGUAAUGGGUAAAGAAGCACCGGCUAACUACGUG
rnacentral:rRNA from 1 species